UACGUAGGGUGCAAGCGUUAAUCGGAAUUACUGGGCGUAAAGCGUGCGCAGGCGGUUUUGCAAGACAGAUGUGAAAUCCCCGGGCUCAACCUGGGAACUGCAUUUGUGACUGCAAGGCUAGAAUCUGGCAGAGGGGGGGUAGAAUUCCACGUGUAGCAGUGAAAUGCGUAGAUAUGUGGAGGAAUACCGAUGGCGAAGGCAGCCCCCUGGGCUAAGAUUGACGCUCAUGCACGAAAGCGUGGGGAGCAAACAGG
rnacentral:rRNA from 1 species